UAGGGAAGUCUUCCACAAUGGGCGCAAGCCUGAUGGAGCAACACCGCGUGAGUGAAGAAGGGUUUCGGCUCGUAAAGCUCUGUUGUUAAAGAAGAACACGUAUGAGAGUAACUGUUCAUACGUUGACGGUAUUUAACCAGAAAGUCACGGCUAACUACGUGCCA
rnacentral:rRNA from 1 species